CGGGGCUGCGGAGCGGGGCAGGGGCCGGAAAGCCCGCGCGGUGCCCAGUCUUCCCUGCUCCAGUCUGGCACCUGCUCACCUGGCAUAAAAAUGAUGGCUUUGGCAGUGUAAGGAUUGAAGCAGAACAUCAGAUGCUGUCCUGAAACCCAGAUGAAUGAAAUCUGACACAUUGACUUUGUUUAUAACCUCAGUGACAGGACUGCUGUGAGGUUGGUCUGACACAGGCUGCUCUUGGCAAGAGCAAGAAGCCAUGCUGGGAGGAAAGCGCAGAAGUGCUGCGAGCCGUGUCUGGAGAGAUGUUCAGACCAGAGCCACAGGAGUCAAAGACUACUAAGAGGUCUGAGCAGAGAUGGAAACAGAGAGAGCCAGUAUUAAGUUACAUUUCAUGAUGUCUUAGACGCAAAACAUCAUUGUGCUGAUGUUUGCAAAGCAGCAGAAAGGGAGCACUUAGCAGUGUCAUAGAGUCACAGACUAGUUUUGGUUGGAAGGGAUUAUAAAAGGUCAUCUAGUCCAACCUCCCUGCAAUGAACAGGGACAUUUUCAACUGCAUCAGGUUGCUAAGAACCCUGUUUGUUUCAAAACAGGAUAGAGAACAAAAGAAAGAUGGAGAAAACAGUAUUUUAGAGUUUAAGGCUGUUAAAGUAAGGGUAAAACACUCUCUUAGAGAAGAAAAUCGGAAAAGAAAAAGCUGUUGUUGAAGUAUUUCUCAUCCAUGCUUCCUAUGAGCAAGGUGGUCACCUAACAUGGAUAAAUCAAAACUAUGGAUAUCUCAGUUGGUCUCUGAGCUUAUUUAUUAUAUCCACAUAUGGAAAAAUGUACUAGCCGCUUACUGUAGAGGUCAGGCUAUAUAUAAACAACGGCAAGUGAAGCAGGACCUGAUGCAAUUGGCUCUAGGAGCUGCCUGUCCACAGCAUCUGUGCAGCUGCAGGUGGGACGUGGAAUCCCAUCAAUCAAUCUAGGGUUAAACAGGAGCUGACAGUACUUUGGAGGAACAUGAAGUGCCUGCAACCUAUUAGCUGGGCACACGUCUGCACUUUCCCUCUCUUUGCACGAGAACCACCCUUCAAAGCACAGUGAAACAAUCCUCUCACUCUCGAGAAGCUUUCGUUCUGAAGAAUACAUGGGAGUGGCAGAGCAGUGACAUCAAUCAUUUUAAGCACAGUGUACUUGGUGAAAUGCAUGACACAAGUUGCACAGCAGUACCUGCAGUGUCUGUGCUAAGUGACAGAAAAAUAUAUUAGAGACUAGUUAAAGAAACAGCUUGAAAACAGCUUGAAGGAGAAAACAGUGAAAAUGAGAGGGAGAAGAGUAAAAAGUUCCAGCCACCACCUAUUGUGUCUAAACUCAUAUUGUUUCUAAAAAUACAAAAGCAGAAAGCCGGUAGGAAAUGUUGAUGCCAGAAAGCUUUCAGCAAGUAAAGGACCAUGCUGGUGCCCAGCGUAAAAUUGAGCCUCCAGUGCUCCAGGAUUCAAUCUGACAGCCAUGUUCUAAUGCCACUGCUCAGCUCCACCUCAGCUUGACCAAAACUUCAAAGCCUAUUAAAAUCAAGUAGAAACUUUCUGUGCCUCUGGCUCCUAAGUUUAAAAUUGGCACUGGACUUUGUCUCGCAUUUCGCCUCCUCCCCAGCCCUGUAGCUCGAUACCCCUCGUUAGCCUGCUCGGGAUGGUUUGUGUCCCUCUCUUUGGAGAACAUUUGUCACCCGGAACUGCUCCAGCCCCUGCUUAUUUUGCCGAGAAGGAAUUUUGGCAGCAAUUAGCCGAAAAUCUCUCCAAAGACAACCUUUAAGAAAAUGAAAAAUGAAUCCAGUAUCCCAUGUGUAAUGAUGAUGUACCUGGCCUAUGCUCCAGAUGCCAGCAAACAGAAGAUGGCUUCACUCAGGAAGUGGUUGCCUUAAUGACACAGAGGGACAAGGACAUCAAAGUAGGACAGCUGAGAGAGACACGAGGUCAGAACAUGUGAAACUACAAAUAGAGAGACAAGCACCACUUCAAAAAUGCCUGGUUUUAGAAGCCUACUUGCUCUUCAAUUAGCACAUAGCUCUUCUGUUAAUAAACUCCCAUGUAUCUCUGAACACAACCAAUGGCAAGUUGCCUUCUCUCCCACAAAAGACACUGAAAGCAAUUAGUGGAAAAACAAGUAACUGUUAUUAACAGUUACAUUUUCUGCCUGGGCUACCAAGGCCCAUGUGGCUGUAACAACCAGCAGCUCUCAGCAAAACGAGCUACAGCAGGCUGCUGAGCCAGACAGAGCACCAGGGAGAAAUCAGUCCCUCCAAGGCAUUCUUCCCCCUGGCAUCCAUCAGACAUAUAGAUAUAAAAGUUCAGCAUGUAAAGGCCACAUUAGCAGACGCAUCCUUAGACUGCUGCGGAGACGAUGGCUGCAAUCACAUCAUCUGCGCCCUCAAAUUUACCUGUUCUUUGGAAUUCUGCUUUGCAGUGUAUUUGAAGGAUUUCUUGCUUGACUGAUCUUAUUUUGUUCACACAGAAGCAUUCCAUUGUUUAUUUCUUUUAGGCUCUUAGAG